AUGACAAGAUAUAUUUGUGCUGCUGCUUGAUUCACUUCUACAAGAGGUGUGUAUCAGCUCUGGCUUUGAUUGGUCGCUCGCCCAGGAGAAAUCCCAGGCUGAGUGUCUGUCUUAGUCAGUCACAAACUUGUUUAUUCAGGGCUAAAGAGAGCCCAUCU
rnacentral:misc_RNA from 1 species